UUUUUAUUUUUUGUUAGUUGUUGUGGUUUCUAGUCGGGGUAGUUCUUAGUGCAUUAUAAGCCUCUGUCCAAGGUUAUCUGUUUUCAGGAUGAUUGAAAGUAUGAAUGAGCUGGCUUUUUCUAACCAUUUGUGACUCCAUAAACCACCUGUUUCUGAGUGAUAAUCCUCCUAAAAACUGAUUUGAUAAAUUAAGUAUCUUUGACCAUGAACUUUAAUAAUA
rnacentral:lncRNA from 1 species